rnacentral:rRNA from 1 species
AUUGAACGCUGGCGGCAUGCUUUACACAUGCAAGUCGAACGGCAGCACGGACUUCGGUCUGGUGGCGAGUGGCGAACGGGUGAGUAAUACAUCGGAACGUGCCCAGUUGUGGGGGAUAACUACUCGAAAGAGUAGCUAAUACCGCAUGAGAACUGAGGUUGAAAGCAGGGGAUCGUAAGACCUUGCGCAACUGGAGCGGCCGAUGGCAGAUUAGGUAGUUGGUGGGAUAAAAGCUUACCAAGCCGACGAUCUGUAGCUGGUCUGAGAGGACGACCAGCCACACUGGGACUGAGACACGGCCCAGACUCCUACGGGAGGCAGCAGUGGGGAAUUUUGGACAAUGGGCGAAAGCCUGAUCCAGCAAUGCCGCGUGCAGGAUGAAGGCCUUCGGGUUGUAAACUGCUUUUGUACGGAACGAAAAGCUUCGGGUUAAUACCCUGGAGUCAUGACGGUACCGUAAGAAAAAGCACCGGCUAACUACGUGCCAGCCGCCGCGGUAG